UUCAGCUCUCAACCUUCAUCUUCUUCAACCUUAGAAACCUAAACAUAUAUAAAUUUUAAAUAGCCAUAACUCCCUCGUUUUAAUUCGGAAUUGAUCGAUUCUUGCGGCCACAGAACUAGCACGAGGUCCUCUAUCAUUCAAGCCUAGAAAAUCAAGACUUGACGAGGCGACUACCAAUGGAACCCGGAACUUACAGAACACGACAUCGCUUAGUUAUUAUCGAAGGUUAUGGAUAGCAAGGAUGUGUUUUCAGGUACCUCGAUCCGGACUUGACUAGACGUCCACCUUUUGACCGGAAGUAAAUGUGCCAAUGAACAGUCCCGACUUCCAUAUCUGCUGCAGUAGUAUAAUGUCUGACCAGUGUCAUGGCUUAGUAGAAGAGUAAAAUUUUACAUUGUUUAUAGUUGCUUUCUGUUGUGUAUAUUUUGGUUUGGCUACGAUAGUUAUGCUUUGUACCACGGAGGUAGAUUCCCGUGAUGUAACUUUGACACUAGUAGUUUAUGCCGGGCUAGUACUUAUAUGAUACGGAAACGAUAAGCCCGAGCAAGUUGUAUAACUUUACCAGUGUAUAUAAAUGUGUCUUUGUUUAAA